rnacentral:rRNA from 1 species
AUGACUCGGGAGCUGCCGGAGCUCGCUAACGACGCUGCCCAACCGCUAGCCCCGGCGCCCUUACCAUGGCGGCCUUCAUGGUGCUCGGUGAACACCUCAUGGCGUACAGGUCGCGACGCACAGAUUGCCAUGAACAGGGCCACGGUGAACAGAUUCAUGGCAAAGGGUAACACCGGCGUACAUGUUUUGAAUCACGCUCUUAAAGGAGACGAAGUGGUGCAACCGGAGCUCGCUCACGACACAGCCCGAGACUCGCCUUCCCCUUCACGGUGUAUAGGUCCUUGA